rnacentral:misc_RNA from 1 species
UCAACUAUCAAGCCUGGCUUGUCGUUGGACCCCUUUUGUCACUGAAAUAUGUGAUAGGUCCGAAAGAUAAUGACGGUGUCGUGUUUGACCCUAAAUGCAACGAGCUUUUUAUAGCACGCAUUGAAGUGGUCGGCCGACCCGGUCUUUAACCAUCAUUUUUCUAA